ACCACGGCAAUUUAUAAACUUUUUUUGGACGAGUCGGAAUGAGCUCAGUGAAGAUUUUCUUUACAUUAGUUAGGAAGAUACGAUAGCAAUCAGAGACUUCGACCUAACUAAGUAGUUCCUCCCAAUUAAUAGCAUUUAAUGCGUUGUUUAGAAGUUCCGGGUCACAUAAAUUGUAAUUAAAAUCUGGGCCACAACUAGAUGUGGAACAGGUAUGAAAAUUAUAAAAGUUUAUUUGUAGGACUAGCGGUACAUGAUGCAUAUCCGGCUCAGAAAUUGGGAAAUCACAUUCUUUCAGGUGGAAAUCAAAAUUACUACUGACAAAGAUUAGAUCUUGCAUUCUAGAUAACUUUUUUAAAUAGGAAUUAAUUUGUACUAAGUCCGCACCGAGAAGACUAUCAAUUAGGUAAAUUUCGUGUGAUUUAUUGACAUUCCAGGCCAUAAGAGAACUAUUAUUAGGUACCAUAGAUAGGUGACUUUAUUUAGAUUGAAAUCGCCAAGAACGCAUAGAUGACUCUUACUGUCUGAACCGACUGCAACUGAAAUAUUAGUUAUAUUGUACAUAUGCGCAGGAUAUAAGUCAUCAGAAAUAAGUGGCGGAAUAUAGGACGCACAUAUAUACAGUAGAUUAGUAUCGCCACGUAUAGUUACACGUAACUGGUCAAGUAUAGUAUCGGCAUUUAAAAUAUCAAAUGAUUCUGAGCGCAGGUUCCGUUUAACAGCAAUAAGAACACCUCCUCCUCUUAUGCACUUGUUUUGACCGAGUCCCUGUCUUUUCUAUAAAUAUUAUACAGCUUUAAGUCACAAAUUUCAGCAUCAAAUAUGUCAACAUUUAACCACGUUUAAGUGAGAAUUAUUAUGUCAUAUUCAUAGAGAGACAAGAACAAUGUAGCUGAGAUCAGUUUCGUUCUCAUACCAGAUACAUUUUUAUAGUAGAUCUUCAGCGCAGAAAGAGAUUUAGACUCCACCAUCGAGGAAGCAUUGUCAGAUUGACGGGCGUUUAUUUUAUUAUGUCUAUUUUUCCUUCCUUCUGAAAAAAUUGAAAAGGACGUACCUUGACAUUUGUUGGCCAAAGUACGGGAUUCAAUAGCACGUCUAGAGAGAAGCGGCUACUCCAAGCUUGAAAUUUAUUUUCUUUAAAAUGGUCACCUCGACUCCUUUUUUAACUAGCAUAAAGCAAAGUAGAUCAUCGCCUGAUAUCGUUCUCGGUUACCGUAUGCUUAAAAGAAGAUAGGUGAAUCCAUUUUUUCGUAGCUAUUACGUCAAGACCGGAAUUAUUAUUCAGACCAAUGACAACAUUACGAACACUUUUCGUUUUUAGUCCUGUUUUUAGUGGCAUCUUCCCACUGUGCGGUUGGGUGAGAAUUAAUAGCAUUAAUAGAUCAAGUAUCGGCCAUAGGUAGGCGGGCAGCAACAUCAGCGUAACUUUGAGAGGAACCAAAAAUAUUAGCCGCAGCAGAAUUACUUGGAUGAGCAGCAUUAGACGGGGAGGUUACCAUGCAUUAUCAGAUGCACUGUUAGUUGGGCCAUUAAGAGAAAUAGCAGCCGAGUCCAAGAAUGAUAGAAUACAAGAUUGCGCCAAUCGAGCUGAGAGCAACUGGCCGUGACGUCAAUAAAUACCAGAAUGAGAGAGCAAAGACGAAUUCAAUAAGAAAAAGAAGAAGAAUCGAACAGCUGGGGCGAAAUUGAAAGUAAUUGAACAAAUACCAGCGGGCAGCCAGCGGGUCAGUUGCUGGUAACAAUUUGCAGAACGAUUCCACGGUGAUCGUUGCAUCGUCGUCAAUUAGUGAAAUCACUACUUUUCCGGCAGCCGCAACAAACGCUGGCCCAAGCCUGCAAAUUGUUGCCAGCAACUGACCCGUUGGCUGCCCAGUGGCAUUUGUUCAACUACUCAAAAAUGCACUUUGUAAACAAACCUUUUGGGUGUUGGCCACAUCAAGCGGCUCAUCUGGAUGAAAUGAAAAGGCUGUUAGAUGUAAUGCAGGAACGUGCUUCCGAUGUUGAACAUCAGUUCAAAGAAAAGUCAAAUGAGUUGGAAUUGGCGCAGCUUAUCAUACGCCAGUUGUCGGAUAAGGCCAAUGUAAACCAAGGCGGCAAUCGUAUAGAGACCUUGACGUAGACGCAAUUUAUGUACGAGGAACAGAUUAGAGACUUACAACUAAGUUAGAAGUAGAAGUGCAUUUGAAGAUGUUUACAUUAUUAUGUUUACGCAUUUCUUACAGUCUAUGGUGCAGGAAUUUAUGCUGGUCACAAAAUAUAUUGGAAAAACAUAGCAAGUGCAUAUGCCAAGUUGGAAAAGUUUACAAUGCUGGCCAAAAAGAAGAGUCUUUUUGAUGAUCGACCGCAAGAGAUUCAAGAAUUGACUUACAUCAUGGUGUAUGCGUUACAAUCUAAAUUAGCCAGCAUGGGCACCGACUUCAAACAGUUGUAUACUGUCGUACUGUUGUAUUUCAGAAACUUUAAACGGCUAAAGCUAUAUAUAAGGAAUUCGCAAGCUAACAUAAAAGUUUUAUUAUGAAAUUUCACACAAUUAAAAAAUUGUUGGUGGUGAUUUAUGCAACCUCACAA